rnacentral:rRNA from 1 species
GUGAACGCUGGCGGUGCGCCUAACACAUGCAAGUCGAGUGGGUUCAGACCCACGGCGAACGGCUGCGUAACACGUUGGUACCUGCCUCGAACUCAGGGAUAUCCCGCCGAAAGGCGGAGUAAUACCGGAUGCCCUCGCAAGAGGAAAGAUUUAUCGGUUCGAGAGGGGCCUGCGGCCUAUCAGGUAGUUGGUAAGGUAACGGCUUACCAAGCCUAUGACGGGUAGCUGGUCUGAGAGGACGACCAGCCAGAAUGGAACUGAGACACGGUCCAUACUCCUACGGGAGGCAGCAGUGAGGAAUCUUCCGCAAUGGGCGAAAGCCUGACGGAGCGACACCGCGUGGAGGAUGAAGCCCUAUCCGGGCGUAAACUCCUGUUCUGAGGGACGAAAUUUUUGACGGUACCUCAGGAGAAAGCAUCGGCUAACCCUGU